rnacentral:rRNA from 1 species
GAUGAACGCUGGCGGCGUGCUUAACACAUGCAAGUCGAACGGUGAAGCAGAGCUUGCUCUGUGGAUCAGUGGCGAACGGGUGAGUAACACGUGAGCAACCUGCCCUGGACUCUGGGAUAAGCGCUGGAAACGGCGUCUAAUACUGGAUACGAGACGUGGCCGCAUGGGCAACGUUUGGAAAGAUUUUUUGGUUCAGGAGGGGCUCGCGGCCUAUCAGCUUGUUGGUGAGGUAAUGGCUCACCAAGGCGUCGACGGGUAGCCGGCCUGAGAGGGUGACCGGCCACACUGGGACUGAGACACGGCCCAGACUCCUACGGGAGGCAGCAGUGGGGAAUAUUGCACAAUGGGCGAAAGCCUGAUGCAGCAACGCCGCGUGAGGGAUGACGGCCUUCGGGUUGUAAACCUCUUUUAGCAAGGAAGAAGCGAAAGUGACGGUACUUGCAGAAAAAGCGCCGGCUAACUACGUGCCAGCCGCCGCCGUAACAC